CAGUAAGUAGUUUAAUCAAAAUUUUAAUUUUGGAGAUUAAGGAUGAGGUAUUCUCUUUACUGA
rnacentral:tRNA from 1 species